UAAAGUCGUUGAUGCAUUAUUGAUGUCAUUUUUUUUUAUUGAGCUAAUAUAUUGGUUAUGUUUCACAGAUGAUUUGAUUGUUGAUCCGCGCAACUUGGAAUGGAUGAGGGAAGCUAAUUGUCCCAUUGUGGCUGAUAUCACCCAUUCUUUGCAACAGCCUGCUGGAAGACAGGUGUGGAUCAUUUCUGAAAUAUAUUAAAGAGCUUAUACUGGGAGAGCUUAUAAGAGAUUGUGCUAUUUGGCUGAUGCUGUGAUUGAAAGUCUUCCAUACGUUGGAGCGAUGGCAGUCUCAAAUCUUGAAGCUCGACAGGUCCAACUUUGGACAUUUAUAUUUAAAACAUGGAACUAAUAAUACAUUUUUUUUGCAGUUAUUUUAUUCCUUGGUGCCUGCACAAAGCCUCCUCGGCUGUCCAUGGUGACUGAAUACGUGGAAAUGGGAUCAUUGUAUCAUUUAAUCCAUGUGAGUGGACUGAAAAAGAGACUCAGCUGGAGAAGGAGAGUGAAAAUGAUAUGUGAUAUAUGCAGGUGCAUUUGACCAUCAACUUUUCCAUUGCACUACCUCAUUGACAUUGCACAUUUAUGUUGGUACUACUGCUAAAUAAGUAACUUAUGGUUGCUUUUGGAGCUCAGUAUAUUUUCUUAUGUUGGUAUAUUUGCUUUUGCAUUAAUGAAUGAGCAUUCCUUCACUACAGGAAAUAUCUGUUUUGUGGAAAAUGAUUACUCUUUUUUUAUAUUUACCAUAGGCCUAUAUUAUUCAAUUAAAUGUUGAAGGUGUAUUUCCUCGUUAAGUAUUUUGUAAUUUUUCAGCCGAGUUUAAAAUGAAAAGGUUAUUAUUCCUUUUGUCAUUUGCAAUGACUACUUGUUCAAGCUUUUGCUGAUUGGAGAUUCUGGAGUUGGAAAAUCAUGUCUUCUUCUGAGAUUUGCUGUAAGUGCUUUGGAAUGUUUUUCACUCUCUCCUAUAUUUCUUCUUUUUAAUGAAAAUCUAGUUGUAGUGAUAGACAAAUUUGUAGUUUAUCUGAUUUUCCCUUUUGUAGUUUAUCUGUGUUGCAUCUAUAAUAUAUAUAAAUGUUGACAUAUAUUUGUAU